CACGUAGUUAGCCGGUGCUUCUUCUACACCUACCGUCACCACCCGAAGAUGGCUUCGUCGGUGUCGAAAGAGGUUUACAACCCGAAGGCCGUCAUCCCCCACGCGGCGUUGCUGCGUCAGGCUUUCGCCCAUUGCGCAAGAUUCCCCACUGCUGCCUCUCGUAGGAGUCUGGGCCGUGUCUCAGUCCCAGUGUGGCCGGUCACCCUCUCAGGCCGGCUACCCGUCGUCGCCUUGGUAGGCCAUCACCCCACCAACAAGCUGAUAGGCCGCGGGCUCAUCCUGCACCGCCGGAGCUUUCCACACCACACCAUGCGGCACGAUGUCAUAUCCGGUAUUACGACCCCGUUUCCAGGGCUUAUCCCAGAGUGCAGGGCAGAUUACCCACGUGUUACUCACCCGUUCGCCACUCAUCCACGGUGCAAGCACCGCUUCAGCGUUCGACUUGCAUGUGUUAAGCACGCCGCCAGCGUGUCCUCGUGCACGGAGUCAACGUACUCUAC
rnacentral:rRNA from 1 species